UAGAGAGACUUAUAGAUUACACCGUUAGUUGGUAUAUAUAGACUGAACACGUAAACACAAGGUAGCUUAAGUCAUUGUUGCCUGCCUUGGAGUAUCGGUGACAGUGGAUUGUUGUAUUGAUAUUACUAUUAGACAUUGAAACAGGAUAAAGCCCACUAACUACAUCUAUCUAUCUAUUUUUUAACGAAACGUAAUUAAAAUGGCUAAUCUUACACAGUUGCAAAAUGAAUUGAAUAGUAAAGCCAAGAAACAGAAAGUUAACACAAAAGACCCGGUGGAGAAAGUCAAACUGGCUCUGUUAGGUCGAGGUCCAGCCGGUAUAAAAAAUCUCUCAAGAUGGUUUCGGAUAAUGGAUGAUGACAGGAAUCAGAAACUAACACUAGAAGAAUUUAAAACUGGUAUGAGAGAUUUUGGUUUACAUGAUGUUACCGAUGCAGAGUUUAAGGAGGUUUUUAAUAGAUUUGAUGAAGACGGAAGCGGAAGCAUUAAUGUCACAGAAUUCUAUCAGAAAAUGAGGCCAGCAAUGUCACAGAAUCGUAUGAAUAUAGUUUGUCAAGCGUUCAAUAAAUUCGAUAAGUCUGGAGAUGGGGUGAUUACAACUGAAGAUUUAGGGGAAUACGACAUCUCCCACCAUCCUAAAUAUUUAAAUGGCGAAUGGAAACCAAAACAAUGCCUUGAAGAAUUUUUAAAAUCAUUUGAAUCUGAUAAACACGUAGAUGGAAAGGUUACUAAAGACGAAUUUAUUGCCUAUUAUUCUGCUUUAAGCUGUAGUAUCGACGAAGAUUCCUAUUUCGAUCUGAUGAUGAGAAAAGCAUGGGGUUUAUAG